rnacentral:rRNA from 1 species
UUUCGCAAUGCCCGAAAGGGUGACGAAGCGACGCCGCGUGGGUGAGGAAGGCCUUCGGGUUGUAAAGCCCUGUCAGGAGUUAUGAAAUGUAAGUGCGCUAAUAUCGUGCUUAUUUGACAAAGGCUCCAAAGGAAGCCACGGCUAACUCUGUGCCAGCAGCCGCGGUAAUACAGAGGUGGCGAGCGUUGUUCGGAAUUAUUGGGCGUAAAGAGCACGUAGGUGGGUUUGCAAGUCAGAUGUGAAAGCCUUCUGUUCAACGGAAGAAUUGCAUCUGAAACUGCUAAUCUUGAGUAUAGGAGGGGAGAAUGGAACUUCUGGUGGAGCGGUGAAAUGCGUAGGUAUCAGAAGGAACGCCGGCGGCGAAAGCGAUUCUCUGGCCUAUUACUGACACUCAGUGUGCGAAAGCUAGGGGAGCAAACGGGAUUAGAUACCCCGGUAGUCCCAGCCGUAAACGAUGGGCACUAAGUAGAGGGGUUUUA